AUUCUCCUCCAAACGUCGGAGAUUUCUCUGUGUAUAAACUUGAGAGCUCUGGCUGACAUGUAAUGCACCAGAAUCGGACGGUCAGGUUGUACAAUUUCACUGAUGGUAGCAUGAUUUAUAAUGGUUUUGCAGGAGCAUACGAUGUUUAUUUGGUUUGAGAUUAUACCAAUCCAUCAGUAUACGUGUGGAGCUAUUACUCGCGCACAAAUGUCAAACAGUUAUGGAUCAGAAUCAUUUUAAAACAGUUUAAACUAAUCUACAAUUAAAUUUAAAUGUAAAUUAUAAAUGCGUAUUUGUUUUUAUUCUGUUUAAGUUGCAAGUAUAUUGAGCAAGUGGCAUUUUAGUAGCCUAUGCAAAUGGGGAACCCUUUAACCCAGAAUAUAAAGUCAGAGGGCAUGGCCAAAAAACACAAAACAGUCUUCUGUUUCCAGCUCCUCAUUUCGCAACGUGUAACUCCCGUUAACUGUUUAACUCCUGUUAAAAGAUCGAGGGAAAAAGAAAAGCGUUUAAAUUCUGAAGAUUUCUAUUUCCCGCGUUUUUUUGUGUGUGUGUGUGUCGGAUGUAAAAGUAAUCAAAGGCAGAGGAACGAACUGAAAGCUCACCAGGUGUGCAUAUGGCAGCGCGGCGCUCUCGAGGACGCGCAUUCCAGCCUGUGAUGAGGUGAAAGGUCCAACGCAAGUGACAGAGCACUUAAACAGCCUUUCUUCUGCUGUCUCCCGCAAUUAAUGUUAUUGAAGGACUGAAAUGAUGCUAAUAGUUAGGCAGAAAGCCUCUGGCUGCGUGGAAACACAUGUAUCUGGGUAGUUUACUGCUGCAUUAUAAUUGGAAUGGCGUUUAAUAAAAUAUCCAAGUUGAAAAGAUAA